rnacentral:rRNA from 1 species
AGUGAACGCUGGCGGUAGGCCUAACACAUGCAAGUCGAACGGCAGCACAGGAGAGCUUGCUCUCUGGGUGGCGAGUGGUGGACGGGUGAGGAAUACAUCGGAAUCUACUCUGUCGUGGGGGAUAACGUAGGGAAACUUACGCUAAUACCGCAUACGACCUACGGGUGAAAGCAGGGGACCUUCGGGCCUUGCGCGAUUGAAUGAGCCGAUGUCGGAUUAGCUAGUUGGCGGGGUAAAGGCCCACCAAGGCGACGGUGCGUAGCGGGGCUGAGAGGAUGAGCAGCCACACUGGAACUGAGACACGGUCCAGACUCCUACGGGAGGCAGCAGUGGGGAAUAUUGGACAAUGGGCGCAAGCCUGAUCCAGCCAUGCCGCGUGGGUGAAGAAGGCCUUCGGGUUGUAAAGCCCUUUUGUUGGGAAAGAAAUCCAGCUGGCUAAUACCCGGUUGGGAUGACGGUACCCAAAGAAUAAGCACCGGCUAACUUCGUGCCAGCCGCCGCCGUAA